GUUCCCGUAGUUGAAGACAACAAUGGUUUUUCAAGCCGUAGGUUCAGGUUAAAGUCCUGGGGGGAACU
rnacentral:tRNA from 1 species